GUGGGUAUAGCUCAGUGGCAGAGUGCAUGCUUAGCAUGAACAAGGUCCUGGGUUCAAUCCCCAGUACCUCCA
rnacentral:tRNA from 1 species